GACGAACGCUGGCGGCGUGCUUAACACAUGCAAGUCGAACGAUGAAGCCGGAGCUUGCUCUGGUGAAUUAGUGGCGAACGGGUGAGUAACACGUGAGUAACCUGCCCUUGACUCUGGGAUAACUGCUAGAAAUGGUAGCUAAUACCGGAUACGACCCUCGGAGGCAUCUCCAGGGGGUGGAAAGGAUUUCGGUCAAGGAUGGACUCGCGGCCUAUCAGCUAGUUGGUGAGGUAACGGCUCACCAAGGCGACGACGGGUAGCCGGCCUGAGAGGGUGACCGGCCACACUGGGACUGAGACACGGCCCAGACUCCUACGGGAGGCAGCAGUGGGGAAUAUUGCACAAUGGGCGCAAGCCUGAUGCAGCAACGCCGCGUGAGGGAUGACGGCCUUCGGGUUGUAAACCUCUUUUAGUAGGGAAGAAGCGAAAGUGACGGUACCUGCAGAAAAAGCACCGGCUAACUACGUGCCAGCCGCCGCGGUAA
rnacentral:rRNA from 1 species